UACGUAGGUGACCAGCGUUGUCCGGAUUUACUGGGCGUAAAGAGCGCGCAGGCGGUCGUUCAAGUCGAGUGUGAAAGCCCCCGGCUCAACUGGGGAGGGUCAUUCGAAACUGGUCGACUCGAAGGCAGGAGAGGGUAGUGGAAUUCCCGGUGUAGUGGUGAAAUGCGUAGAUAUCGGGAGGAACACCAGUGGCGAAGGCGGCGUUCUGGACUGCAACUGACACUGAGGAACGAAAGCCAGGGGAGCAAACGGG
rnacentral:rRNA from 1 species